ensembl:lncRNA
GUGAAAUAUAAUGUAUUUGUAGCCUUAAGUCUUAAGUGUUGAAUAGUGAAUAGUCUAAGGAACUAAAAAUCUCAGGUAAUUGUUUUAAAUGUUUUGAGGGGCAAAAAGGUGUAGUAUUCCGAGUGUUGAGUGUAUCGAGACUGUGGAGAUUAGCUAGUAGACUACAGGCUGGGCCCAGUUUUUUAAACUAGCAUUCGCUUUUCCAGCUCUUAUAAGCGUAUUUUAAACUACGCUUGAUGUCAGAGAUGCUCAGUAUUUUGACAGGGUGGGUGAGCCGGUUAAAGUACAUGAAACUGACCUUUUAAACCCAGUAUGUUGUUGCGUGCUUCUCCAGCAGAGAUAACCAUUAGUGCUACUAACUAAACACAGCGCCGUUCACAACGGCCCAGUGUCUCUCACGCGCAGCUGGCUUGCGUUACCCUGGGCAACAGGCCUGCGUCUUCUGAACUGCAGAGGGACCAAUAGCGGGGUUCGGACCGUACUAUGUUUUUAAUGGGGGUGUUGGACCUUCCGGGGUCCUCAGAGCUGGGAAACUUGUUUUGCAAGCGCUAAUAAAGUCAAAACUUGGAAAUACACAACAAUGAUGCACAGACUACUUAGUGAAGUGAAGGUGUUUCAAUAUAAAGGCCUAAAAACAUGUAUAUUUUUAUUUGUAUUUGUUCCCGCAGCAGUAGUAGUGGUAGUAAUGGUACAGUCCCCGCAGAAAUUGAACCAGUGAACGUCAUUCCUCAGCGGUGGGAUUUUAAAAAGCGAAUCUCAUAAACAGCUAGUGUCGUAUAUUUAUGAUUUAUUGAGUUAUAAAGUUAUUAGUUUAUGUGUUAAGUCCUUUAUAAACACUGCAAGGCUGUGCAGGAAGUGUUGUUCUUCCUGCCUGUUCUGUAGUGAAGGGCGCAGCUGAUUGGACGGGCUGGGUGGAGCCAGGCUGAGAGAGGAGGAGUAUUUGAGUUGUUUGCUCACAGGCACACACAGACUCUCUCACACGCGCUGUGCCUCUUCAGGAGAGCACUACAUUCUCAACUGGCAUCUGUUUUCAAAAGGACAUCUACACUUGUUUUACCUUUUUUCCAGUCAGUAGACUAAAACUCUUCACACCUCUAUUGAGCACAAAGAAUAUCUCAGGAUUACAAACUUCAGCUUUGACGACUCCUUUUGCCGGUGUACGUAAGAGGAGCGGACCAGGUCACUGUGUUUACAGGAUUUACCCCGUUACUUGGCUCGUUUCAGCACCGAGGAUUGAACUGAGCCUUAGCCCUGGCUUCACGGGCUGCCCUUGUCCUGGUGGGUCACUCAGUCGGACUGAUGUGGAAUGCAACCUCUAGUGACCCCCUCCCAGAGGUCUCCAUUCAGUGAGCAGCACCAGAAAGAGUGGGGAUAAAAGACAAGAGGACCUGAAACAAAAAAGAGAGAAGGAGCAGCAGCAGCAGGAGCGUUCAGCCGGGUUGGAAAGUUAAAGGGGGCGAGGAGCUUAAAAUCCCUGGUAAAAGAAAGAGUGGAAAGCGUGAGUAUAAAAGACAUUUUUGCUGCUUUUCUGGACAUUUAAAAGCUCAAAGGGGGACUGACAAGCCUCAGCUCCAGCUACAC